AGGGAAAGUUGAAAUAGAACUUUGCAGAGAGAGUUAACAGGGCGUGAAACCGUUAAUUGGCAAACGAAUCGGAGCCACGAAGUCGUUUCGUUGUUUAGCCUGGACUAGGUUCAGCUGGGGUCUCGCAAGGGGCCCUAGUGUAUUCCUGAGUCUGGCCAAACCUUGUAAGCGUACACUGCAACCAGUUAGACGAUCAGCAGUGGGCACAGUGGUUGGAGUCAGCCAGCAAUGGUCGGUUCCUUCUACGAAGCAAUUGUUUGUGUGGGUUAGUAGUAGUGCGGUUGUGCUUCGGUGCUUCUCGUGUUGCUGGGCCCAUGCAAGUGAACUACAGCUGAAUACUGACUGGCGAAAUGAAAAUCACCUUUUAGGUGUUAGAGACAAAGCAGCUAGCCAGACGUGGGCCUACACGGUCGACUGUUAGGUCUAAGCUUGGCGCUUUUGAAUUCAGACUUGCUUGCUACCAGUGGGGCAACUCCUGGUGCUUGUAUAGCUUCUGUCUAAUCGGGCGUCGACUUGGCUUGGCAUUGUUCGGUCGUGCUACGAUAGGGUUUGCGUCUGAGUUGGUUUGCAAUGUGAAU
rnacentral:rRNA from 1 species